rnacentral:rRNA from 1 species
UACGGGGGGGGGUAAGCGUUGUUCGGAAUUACUGGGCGUAAAGGGCUCGUAGGCGGCCAACUAAGUCGGACGUGAAAUCCCUCAGCUUAACUGGGGAACUGCGUCUGAUACUGGAUGGCUUGGAUUUGGGAGAGGGAUGCGGAAUUCCAGGUGUAGCGGUGAAAUGCGUAGAUAUCUGGAGGAACACCGGUGGCGAAGGCGACAUCCUGGACCAUGACUGACGCUGAGGAGCGAAAGCCAGGGGAGCAAACGGG